GAUGAACGCUGGCUACAGGCUUAACACAUGCAAGUCGAGGGGAAACGACGGGGAAGCUUGCUUCCCCGGGCGUCGACCGGCGCACGGGUGAGUAACGCGUAUCCAACCUGCCUCUGACUGAGGGAUAACCCGUCGAAAGUCGGCCUAAUACCUCAUGGUAUCGUCUGCGGGCAUCCAAUGACGAUUAAAGAUUUCAUCGGUCAGGGAUGGGGAUGCGUCUGAUUAGCUUGUUGGCGGGGUAACGGCCCACCAAGGCUACGAUCAGUAGGGGUUCUGAGAGGAAGGUCCCCCACAUUGGAACUGGGACACGGUCCAAACUCCUACGGGAGGCAGCAGUGAGGAAUAUUGGUCAAUGGGCGAGAGCCUGAACCAGCCAAGUAGCGUGCAGGAAGACGGCCCUAUGGGUUGUAAACUGCUUUUAUGCGGGGAUAAAGUGAGGGACGUGUCCCUCAUUGCAGGUACCGCAUGAAUAAGGACCGGCUAAUUCCGUG
rnacentral:rRNA from 1 species